CUUUUACUAAUAGCGAUAAAGAAAUGGUAGUUUUGCAGGAAUUGUUUAGAAGAUUAAGUCACCAUUGGUAUGCGAUGGUGAUCUGCUUGGUAGUGGUUAUGGUGUUGGUUGCAAUAGCUCAUCGUGUUGGCUUUGAUGAUAUUCAGAAAUCCAAUAGUAGCUAUCAUGACCGUACAAUACGACGUCUUCGUGCUUUUCAUGGUCCAUCUCUUCGUCUUCGCUCCCACUAUAACACCGACUCUCACUUCUAGUUGCCAAACCAUGUAUUCAAGAUCAGCCAUGUACACAGCUUUUCUAGAGAGAUAAAUUACAUAUUCUAUUUAAGUUUCCUCUUUCUAUUCACGCAUAUUGAAGUUUUGGGUUAUUUUGUUUAGCUAGACUCAACUCUCAAGCCUGUUUUUUUCUUCUUUAAAUCUAAAUAAAUGAUUUUCAUCUAGAUCUAGUUUAUUUUGUGUUUUUUUUAAUUAUUUCAAUGGUCG
rnacentral:lncRNA from 1 species